UACGAAGGGGGCUAGCGUUGUUCGGAAUUACUGGGCGUAAAGCGCGUGUAGGCGGGCCGUUAAGCCGGGGGUGAAAGCCCAGAGCUCAACUCUGGAACUGCCUUCGAUACUGGCGGCCUGGAGCAUGAUAGAGGCGAGUGGAAUUGCGAGUGUAGAGGUGAAAUUCGUAGAGAUUCGCCGGAACACCAGUGGCGAAGGCGACUCGCUGGAUCAUUGCUGACGCUGAGACGCGAAAGAGUGGGGAGCAAACAGG
rnacentral:rRNA from 1 species